CCUAUGGGAGGCAGCAGUGAGGAAUAUUGGUCAAUGGGCGGGAGCCUGAACCAGCCAAGUCGCGUGAGGGACGACGGUCCUAUGGAUUGUAAACCUCUUUUGUCGGGGAACAAAGGCGCCCACGGGUGGGCGGAUGAGUGUACCCGAAGAAAAAGCAUCGGCUAACUCCGUGCCAGCAGCCGCGGUAAUACGGAGGAUGCGAGCGUUAUCCGGAUUUAUUGGGUUUAAAGGGUGCGUAGGCGGAUUGAUAAGUUAGAGGUGAAAUGUCCGAGCUUAACUCGGGAACUGCCUCUAAUACUGUUGAUCUAGAGAGUAGAUGCGGUAGGCGGAAUGUAUGGUGUAGCGGUGAAAUGCUUAGAGAUCAUACAGAACACCGAUUGCGAAGGCAGCUUACCAAUCUAUAUCUGACGUUGAGGCACGAAAGCGUGGGGAGCAAACAGGAUUAGAUACCCGUGUAGUC
rnacentral:rRNA from 1 species